rnacentral:tRNA from 1 species
GGGGAUGUAGCUCAGUUGUAUAGUGCUUGCCUGUAAUGUGAGAGUCCCUGGGUUUGAUCCCCAGCACCA